rnacentral:SRP_RNA from 1 species
GCCGGGCAUGGUGGCGCAUGCCUGUAAUCCCAGCUACUCAGGAGGCUGAGGCAGGAGAAUUGCUUGAACCAGGGAGUUGGAGGUUGCAGUGAGCAGAGAUCGCGCCAUCACACUCCAGCCUGGUGACAGAGCAAGACUCUAUCUCAA